rnacentral:rRNA from 1 species
AAAUGAAUUGACGGGGACCCGCACAAGCAGCGGAGCAUGUGGUUUAAUUCGAAGCAACGCGAAGAACCUUACCAAGGCUUGACAUCCUUCUGACAGACUCUUAAUCGAGUCCUCCUUCGGGCAGAAGUGACAGGUGGUGCAUGGUUGUCGUCAGCUCGUGUCGUGAGAUGUUGGGUUAAGUCCCGCAACGAGCGCAACCCUUGUCUUUAGUUGCCAUCAUUAAGUUGGGCACUCUAGAGAGACUGCCGGGGAUAACUCGGAGGAAGGUGGGGAUGACGUCAAAUCAUCAUGCCCCUUAUGCCUUGGGCUACACACGUGCUACAAUGGCUGGUACAAAGAGACGCAAGACCGUGAGGUGGAGCAAAUCUCAAAAACCAGCCCCAGUUCGGAUUGUAGGCUGCAACUCGCCUACAUGAAGUCGGAGUUGCUAGUAAUCGUAGAUCAGAAUGCUACGGUGAAUGCGUUCCCGGGUCUUGUACACACCGCCCGU